rnacentral:lncRNA from 1 species
UAAGCAAAAGAAAAUCAAGGAGGCCUGCAACUUCGUAUGCAGUCCGCCACUGCAAAUCAGUCUGGAAACUGGAUUCAAAGGUAAAACACACCGAUGUCUUUGAUUUUGGUCUCUACUGCACAGUUUGACAGACAAAUGAUAAACCUAACACAUGCAUGCUUUGAUUUCCUUGGUAGGUCAUAUUUUUCACUUUCUGGAUGUGCAAAGUCUGGAUAGUACACAUCACCGGACCAAACCUUUAUCAGGUAAGGAAUUCCAUCGCGUUUGUUGAAAAUAUUUGCUUCCUUUCCUCUCAUGUAUGUGUAUGUAUGAUUGUAUGUGUGUGAUUUUAGAUUGUAAUGCAUCACAAAUUUGUGGCAUAAAAAUUGACAUUUGUAGACUUACCCUUUGUUUGGUGACUGUGAUAAUUGAGAGAAAGGAAAAUAAAAUUUCGAAGAUUGAUGCUUUUAUGUGAUUUCUUGGCUCUUUUUUUUCAUAUGAUUUUCAUUGUAUGUGUGCCGGUGUAUGUCUCUUCUUGAAAAAUACAUGUUGAAAAUGGGAGAAUUUUGGACAUGACACGUUUAGAAGUGAGGUUUUCUGAAUGAAGACACUUUUAUGAUUUGUUUGUAAUUUGUUUUGCAAAUGGGUAGGAAUGUCAUUCUAAAAGGAUAUUGGCAGGAGAGGGUGGAAUGUCAUUCUAAAAUAUGUGUAAUUCAAUUCUCUCAUUUUCUAUAGCAGAAUUGCGGAUUUCUAAAUCGAAAAGGAGAAAUAAACACUAUAGAAGUUUAUGCAGAAGGAGCAUGUAAAAGAGAAGCACAGGUAAAGGUUUAUGAGGUCAGUUGGCUGUUUUCUUUUUAGUGUUUUCAAUUUGUUCCUUUUAGUCUGGCUGCAAUUUUUUAAUCUCUGGUUAUGCAUCAAUUUCUCUGCUUCUUUGUAAAUCUUGCAGGUGAGGACAACACACUUAUCAGGGCAAUGUCGGGAUGUUUAGGCUUGGGUGGAGACAUGGACUUAUGGAAGAGGUGAAGUAGCUUAGGUUUCUGUCAUUAGCUUUAUCUGUUCUAUGCAUCUCUGCAAUCUUACAAUGCUCCUUUAUUUAAUUGCAAGAUGUUGGGGACCGGUUACUGGAAUACAAGAUUUGGAACAAAAGUGGUUGACAAUGCAAGAGUCGAAAGCAAGUGUGAAAUUCGCAUUGAAAAUGACAGGUGAGAAUGCUAAUCAUAUUCUAAAAAAAUGUUGGGUUUCCUGAUGAGUUCUCUAGCUGAAUUCAAGAGGCAAAUUUAGUGAUUUGGAGUUAAUUUUGUAAAUUUAUUGAAUAAAGUUAUUUGUUAUUUAGCUUAUCUUGCGUUUGGUUUGGUUUUAGGAGAGGGUUACGCAUGAUCCGUAGGUUCAUUCAACCUCGCUGUUUUCGUUAGAAUCACAAUUAAGGUCAGUUUUUCCAACAUUUUUUUUGCUUUUUGCUGCAUGUUUGUGCAUGUUUGGUCUCUGAGAUUUUGUUUUUAGUCACUGUUGAUUUGUAGUUUAUGUCUUCCUUUAGCUACAUAUUGACACAUGUUUAUUCUCAGCAUUUUUUUGUUAUGGCAAGUGGUUUGGGGAGUUCUGUAUUAUUAUAUAAUCUUUGGGGCUAUUUUAAGUAAAAAUGAAAUGUUGACAUUGAUAUAGCAUACGGCACACUUAAUUCACACUCCUAUAUUCGGUUUUCAUGUUUCCAUUGCAACACUCUGCAUUUCCGAGCCAAUGAAUUUUUUGAUAAAGAUGUACUUAAAGCAAUUACAUGCUCUAUCAAGUAUGUUUUAUAUGUGGUUGUGGUAGUUGCAAGGAAAUGAAAUAUUUGUGCUGAUAAUUGGUAGUUUAAAUAUAUAGAAAUAGAGAAGAAUUAUAAAUGGAGCACCUAGGAUAUUUAACAUUGUUUUCUUUUCCAUGUAUUUUUUCUCAUGUUUAAUAUCUGCUUUUGCUUAUGCAUAUGAUUCAAGUGCUAUUUUUAUUAGUGUUAAUUUUGGGUUGCAUAUCAACAAACUAACCCAGUUAAUUUUGCUUAGUGUUCAUGUAUAACGAGAACUCUCAUUGCAUCAACUUGAACAAACAUUCUUCUACUUAGUUGCUUAGCUGCUGCAACCAGAACGAAACACUUUUUAUGUUUUUUUGUUUAACUGCUAAAACAGGUGACUGGCCUCCAGGACAUAUAUUUUGCCAUCUUAACUUUAAAGGCAAUACAUAUGUAAAAUGCAUGUUGCUUAGGGAAACAGAGCAUUUUUUGCAACCACAUCUUUUGUAAUCAGCUCGGUUGAAUGUAUAUAAAAGUUAAGCUACUUAUCUUACCUACACCGAUCACUCAUCUAUCCUUUUUGUUCGUUCAUGAUUAUGUUGAAUUUUUUUCAGGUUAAAUGUCUUAUUCAUGUAGUUAAGGCUGGUGCAUUCAAGUCCCGUAGCAACGCGCGGGCAUUUUUCUAGUUAUAACAAAUAAUAAACAGAAAAACAAGUAGGGAGUGAGGGUGAGAAAGUGAGGUAAAAAUACAAUUACUACAACACCCAUGCUUUUGCAACAAGUAUUUCUCAUUAGCAUCUAAAGGCUAUAAUUUUAAUUUUACCAUCUUUGGUUGAUAUAGAUGGUUCUCUAGAUAUGUAGUAUAACAAACAAUACGUUAAAUGAAAAUGGUGGAAUGAGGAGAUUCCAGAGGAAUGAGACAAGCAAGUAUUGUUCAUUUGUUUUUGUAUGAUAAAACUUCCUUUGGAGAUGAGUUCAUUCCUCCACUUAAAAAUAACCUAUCUUCACCAUAAAAAAUUAUAAUCCUAACCGUGUAAUUUUUUUAAUCUUUAUUUGAAGAUCAUUCCUACAAAUAACGCAUCUUCACCGUGACAGAAAAAAUGACAUUUGUUGCUCAGGGGCACCAAUACGCAUAUGUGCAUCAUUAUAAACAACCCAUGAUUUUGCAGAAUAGUAUAGUGCAACAAAUGAGUGUAUUCCAGCGUAUGAUGGGCUCCAAAAGCCAACAAAUAGACAGGUUGACAGUAAUCAUGGAAUUAAAGAAAGUGCAAUCGAAUCAGUAAAUACUACUCAUGUCAUGGAUCAAUAGAUAUUACUCACGGCAUUGGGCCUUCUACCUUUAUAGGUUGCCCUCAUGUCGAUGAGCUGAAUGUUGCUUACUAGUCACGUCAUGGAAGGGUCAUUUUAUACCGCCCCUUGCAGUUGACACAUAAUCAUUUUGGGAAUAAAACUUAGACAUCAUAGUUAGCUUGAGACAUGCCCUUGGUUGGAUUCGGUGUGAGCUUUGUGCAAAAGGGUUGUGCCAUCUUUUGUCAUGAAGGCUGGUUAAAAAUUUUGUUGUGGACAUGCAUUGGUUGCUAAACUUGAUAGAACACUACUUUUGUAAUAUACGUGGGAUGUGAAUAAAACAAUUCAAAUAUUUUUAUUAGGUAAACUUAACUUAAAAGUUGCGUGCUACCAUUUAGAAUUACGGUCUAGUGGUAUUUCUCUUCAAGUGAGAGGUCUUAGGUUUGAUUCUCGCCAAGGACAAUUUGAACCACAUUAUGCUAGCCCAUUGUGAGGUUUAGCCCACCCCCUUAGGCCAUCUCUAAUCGAGAGGGCUAAAGGUCCAAAAGCAAAAAAAUAGCCAGAUUUGCCUAAAAACUCAUCUCCAACCGAAGGCUAGAUUAUAAUUAUAUAGAGCCCACCAGACUAUUAUUUGGCCAAAAGGACAUUAGGCUGGCCAAAUGUAGCUCUCAUCUUAACCCCUUUUUUGGGCCCCGGCUUCUCAGUUGUAAUGAUUUAUUCAAAUUCAACGGUUAGAUUUGAAAACAUCCAAAGGUAGUUUAAUGAAAUUAACUAUUAAAUUUAAAGUAUAAACUUAAAACUAAUAAAUUAUUAAGGGGUUAUGUUUAGCCCAUUCGGUUGGGGAUGACAUAUGAGUAUGGCCUGACACUUACAACAACAACAACAACAAAGCCUUUUCUCACUAAGUGGUAAAUCAAACACAAAUACUCAAAACCUAGAGGUUAGAGGUUUCGAACCCCUUCCCUCCUGGUUGAGGAGUAUUUGCUUCAGCCAACUUGACAACAAGCUUUGCUUUAUGUAACAUCCCACAUUGGCUAGGGGAGUGGAUCAUGUAAGCUUUAUAUGUAUAUUCUCAUCUUUACCUAGCAUGAAACCUUUUGAGAAUUCACUGGCUUCGAGUUUCGCAGGAACUCCGAAGUUAAGCGAGAAUGGGGCCAGAACAUUCUCAGGAUAGAUGAUCCAUUGGGAAGUUCUGCUCGCGUGAGUUCCUAGAAACAAAAUCGUGAGGCUGUGGUUGAGGCCCAAAACAAACAAUAUUGUGCUACGGCGGAGUCAGCUCGGGAUGUGAUGGAUCCCGGACCGGGAUGUGACACUAUAAUUAUGGACCUGCUAAAUUUAGCAUUUUCGAUUGGAGAUGACCUUAAUGCAAAUAACAUCAUUUGAUUAAAAGAAAAAAAAAACACUUAAAAAGUUGGGGGCUAAUAGAGGCACCCUUAACAGAAUUCCUCAAAUUAAAAUGGUAAAGGAUAAACUUUGGGCCUCCAAAGUUGCUCUUCGGCCCAUCAAUAUCUAAACGCGACUUCAACCCAAACUUAAUAGAGACGGGGUGCAGAUUCUCAGAAAAGCCCAAUCCAAAGCAGCCCUAAAGUAUAGAGUUUGUUUGGGCCAUACAGUUAUAUCACCAGACACUAA